AAAGGCAUGGUUGCUGGAAGGUUAAAGGUGGAUUUUUGGGUGGUUCAAAGAGGACAAACCUGAGCGAGAGAGGAAGACGGAGAGGGAAUGAGAAGGAGAGAGGGCAUGGUUGUUGGAGGUUAAAGGUGGAUUUUUGGGUGGUUUAGAGAGGAUAGACCUGAGCGAGAGAGGAAGACGGAGAAGGAAUGAGAAGAAGAGAAGGCCGAGAUUUGCCUCUGUUGAGCCUUGCCUAGUCAUCCUCGAUGCAAAUCUACCCCUCGCCGGCAACACCAAACCCGUGACCCCCUUUUCCAUGGUUCUGAGUUUUCCGAUGAGUUUCCCCAUUUCUUUUGGUUCAAUUUGGUCGAUUUCCCAAGGAUUCCAACAUGGUGGUGUGCAAGGCCACAGAACGUAGUCCAGGUAGUGAGCAUUGCUGACCCUUUUUGUCUUUACCCUGUUUUGCCUUGUUUCAUGCUCGUUCGGAUUGGGAUUUGUUGUGGCCCAGCUCCCGCGAGUGCCGAUCUCACUGGUCUUGCACUUGGCCAUUUUUUGUCUUGACUGGUUGAUUGUUGUAAAUUCGAGUGCGAAUCUAAGUCCGAAUGGGUCAGUCGUCCCCAUAAUUAGAAGCUCCCCACGUGUUCGACGAAAGUGCCAAGUCAGAUCCAAGAGAGGUUUGCUUGCCUUUCCCCGUCCUCUGCACUGGGUUAGUUGCUUUUCGGUUGUAUCCACGGGAUUAGGGUUUUGGCUUCCAUGGAGAGGCCAAAAAGUGGCAAUGAAUGAUGGCCACUUGCAAUGACCACGGCUGUGAAAGGAGGACAGACCGACUAAGUUGAGGAGUGGUCUCGAGACCUUCGCUAGAAGCGGUUGACCGAACCAACCAAUUGUUGGUGGCUUGUGGUGGCAAUGGCCCUUCUUUAGCGUGGGCAACCGCGGUGGUGCAACACCACUGUAGUGACCAAGAGAGGAGAUUGAGGACUUUUUUGGGGUCAAGCUUAAGGUUUGGAGGGCUAGCCCGGCUCCAUUCGCUUCUCCGAAGCGAGAAAACAUUGGCUGCAGCUCUAACUCCAACGUGUCUUCCUCUGAGUCCAUUCACCGGGCGACACCUGUCCAACGACAGCCACGCUAGAGUCCGAGCUCACGGUUAUUUUCGAAAAGGAACGGAAACUUAAUUUCUCUCUCCUCCUCUCUCCUCCUGCACGUCUUGUCCUAUCAUUCAGCUCUGCAAGGAACGGAACUCCCCUGGAAGGAAAUAUUUGGUGGAGUCUUCACGUUCCCACGAAAAUUUCGAACGCAACUCUCUCUCCCUCUCUCUAUUGAACUGAACCCCUUUGUUCUUUGCUUUUCCUCCGACGAAUGAGGGAGGCCGCCGUCCGACGAACCACGGGCUUGAAUCUUUGGCUUUUGUGCUCGGCGGGUGCGGGUGGUCUCGGCCAUUUCGAGCUCGGUGGUGAGCUCGUCGAGAUCUUCGGUGCGCUCCAUUGCCGUUCUUCCUCUGACGAACGAGGGAGGCCGCCGUUCGACGAACCAUGCCGCCGUGAAUCUCCGGCUUUUGUGCUCGGCAGGUGCGGGUGGUGAGGGUGGUCUCGGCCAUUUCGAGCUCAGUGGUGAGCCUGUCGAGAUCCUCAGUGUGCUCCAUUGCCGCUCUUCCUUCGACGGAUGAGGGAGGCCGCCGUCCGACGAACCACGCCGCCUUGAAUCUUCAGCUUUUGUGCUCGGUGGGUGCGGGUGGUGUUGCACGUAUUUGCCUGUUUAGAUAUUAAGGGUCGCGCACUCUUCUGCCCUCGCGUGGCAGAGCGCGGUCUGCAUUCCGAUCGCGAAGCGGGCGAGCGGGUGAGCAGCGACCAGCAUUCCGAUUGUGUGCCCCUGCCUGACUCCAACUAUUACUCCUACGUCUUUGACGACUCCUCUGACUCCGAAGACGACAGUGGCAGCAGCAGCAGUGAAACCGCCGUCUUUUACGACGACUACAGCUACGACUCGCAUUCCGAUUGAUUGAUCCGGGUGGUCUCCUCCGUGAGGACCAUUAUCUUUUCUAUGGUGUUACAUUGAUCAAACUGCAGAAGUUGUCGUACUUUUGCAAAUUGUAUGAGUUCUACCCAGCUUAAGGUAGCAAAUACUUGAGAUAUUGUUGUGUGAAGAGCUCAUGAUGUUCUUUCUCAUGCAAAUCGUAACUAUUGUCAUACUCAUGAUACAUUCUUUCCCAUUUCAUAUGAGGGGUUUCGCAUCUAUUCAAGGAAUCCUCUUAACCAAUUAAAAGUACAAAGCCUUGCUUUUGCCUAGCCAUAUCUUUGAUGAUCAUUGUUUUCUUGGAGCCGCUUCGCUUUUUUGGAGUUUCUAGUAACCUUGGACACGUGGACUGUGCAAGUACUGAGAUGAGUGAACAGAAGGGUCGAAGGUGCACCAUGAGAGAAAAUAAGUUUCCACGUGUAAUUUCUCCACUUAAGUCAUAAUAAGGGACGGGCUCUUUAUCCUUUGAGUUGUCUUUCAAGCAGAUAUUUCCUAGGCACAUGAAGGGCAAUGUUCAAUGUAUUGUGUCUGGGAGCAUUAUUCAACAAUCUGAUAGAAAAAAACUGCUUGAAAGUGCUAUCUCUGAUUACUUUCGUGUGGGAGAAUGGUGGCUUCACUCUUAUUGUAAAUUUUCCAUUGCUUUAAGACUUAUAGCAUCUCAUCAUGAAGCCGCCAACUAAGGGAAACUAUCUUGUGCUUAUGAUAAUACGUGUAGUGAUCUUGCACUUUUAUGAUAUUAAGUGGAAGCACAUGUUCUUAGUUGCAUUGUUUAUGCAGCUAAUACCUUCUCUUAAUUGGGGUUGAUUUCUGCAAUAUUGAUAGGCUGUUCAAAUCUCGCAUGUUGAAAUUCCUUUUGCUGUUUAUAUAUUUGAAUGAUACAUUGACCUUGGCUUGAUUUUCAGGUUGUUUGCCUACUGCUUUUGGUCGCCGAUUUAAUAGCAUAUGCCCUUUGGCUUUUGUGCUCGGCGGGUGUGGGUGGUGAGUGGGGUCUCGGCUAUUUUGAGCUUGGUGGCGAGCUCGUCCGGAUCCUUUUCUUUUGAACGUAAGUGUUUCUUUCUUCCUUUAUUAUUGCCAUAAAAGGGUGUUGCACGUAUUUGCCCAUUCAAAUACUAAGGGUCGUGCACUCUACAUUACAAAGUAUCAUCAGGUUGCGCACUAUAUGUAGCCUGCUUUAUACCAAUACCGAUGUUAUAAAACCCUACUCUAAAAGGAUGAAGAAUAUCAUCAUCAAGAAUAAAUAAAAUCCGAUGAAACUGCACCUUUAUCGCCUCCAUUGUCUACAUCUACCUAGGCUUCCUCUGGCCAUUGCUUGCAACAAAAAUAUUGCUGAGUUUAAUUUUAUUUCAACUUGCAUAGAAUUUUUUAGCUGCGAAUUUUUGCAUUCGAAAAUUAGGUUUGAGGUCGAUUUGGUGGUUUGCUGCCUGUCUCAAUUUGCUUAAUCUAGAAUACAGGAAUUCGACAAUCUCAGAUACUUAUCAUCGUAAAUUCUAAAUGGUUGAUGUUAGGUUAAGCAUAAAAAAGGAAAAAGGACAUCAUUACCUUGCUUGAAUGAUUAAAAAAAAUUGGGUAUGAUGAAGCUGCACCUUUUCUAGGUGACCUUAUCUCCUGCAUUGUCUAUUAAGCUAUUCCAAUUUAUAGUCCCAUGAAGUGAUCUUUGCAAUUUAAGUGACUUAUAGUGUUGUGUGGGGCUGACAUAGAUGAAGCACAAUAUGAAUAAUUUCAUAUUAACAAUUGAACAAGAAAUAACAUGGUUAUAUUGCAGGUAUAUCAUGUCGUCAUCCAAUGUGAAUAAGGGUAAGGGUAUUUCGAGCAGACUCACAUUUCAAAAUAAAAAGGUGUGAUUGUGGCAAGCGUGCUGCCGUGAGAAUUUCGGAGUCUACAAGCAACAAAGAGAAGCUCUACUACAAUUGUGAGGAUAAAAAAUGUGAAUUCUUUGCCUGGUGUCACCCUACAAAUGAUGUGCCUUCUAUCACGAAGGCUUCGCUCGCAAAACUUGAAGAUGACAUGAAAUACAUUAAGCAUUUGUUGGAAAAGCUAAAUGCCUUGCUACUUUUUGUUUGUUUAUUAUUUGUUAUUUUAUUAGCACUACUUAUCCAGAGAAAGUAGGUGGUUGAAAUUGUAAUGUUGCUAGCUAGCUUAGGUAAUUUUAUUUGCCUUUAGACAUGUGAACGCACGCCUGUUUUCUAGCCUAAUUGAUUUGGGCUAGGAACUUUUUAUGUGGUUUUUUGGUGGCCCUCUAAUUUUGUUCCUUUUGGAGAAUGAAGAUGACUGCGCCUGGAGGAGGGGGGGAGAGCACGGCUACUUGUAUUGUGGUUUAAUGACCUUUAGAUGGGGGCUUUUAUAUUGUGUACGGCUAUUAUAAGUAAACUCGAUUUGUGACUAUGUCCAACUUUUAUUUUUCUUGUUGAUGCUAG
rnacentral:lncRNA from 1 species